CCUACGGGGGGCAGCAGUGGGGAAUAUUGCGCAAUGGGCGAAAGCCUGACGCAGCGACGCCGCGUGAGGGAUGAAGGUCUUCGGAUCGUAAACCUCUGUCAGCAGGGAAGAACGGUCACUGUGCUAAUCAGCAGUGAAUUGACGGUACCUGCAAAGGAAGCACCGGCUAACUCCGUGCGAGCAGCCGCGGUAAUACGGAGGGUGCGAGCGUUAAUCGGAAUUACUGGGCGUAAAGGGCUCGUAGGCGGUAUGUCAAGUCACGGGUGAAAUCCCCGCGCUCAACGUGGGAACUGCCUUUGAAACUGGCAAACUAGAGUGUAUGAGAGGUAAGUGGAAUUCCAGGUGUAGGAGUGAAAUGCGUAGAUAUCUGGAGGAACAUCAGUGGCGAAGGCGACUAACUGGCACAUAACUGACGCUGAGGAGCGAAAGCGUGGGUAGCAAACAGGAUUAGAUACCCUAGUAGUC
rnacentral:rRNA from 1 species